rnacentral:piRNA from 1 species
UGCAGAGCAUUAAAUGUGACUGG